CACCGAUGACGAGGCGUUCUCGCCCCGUCACGAC
rnacentral:antisense_RNA from 1 species